AUACUAGAGAUAUAAUUGGUACAAAGUAUUAUAAAGUAUUAAUCAGAUGUUUACUUUCGUUUCUGUUUACGACAAAAAAUAUCUAUGAAUAUGCUGAAUGUGUCUGGGAAAACAUGAAACGGACACCUGGAUUUAUUACCAGAACUACUAGUACCAUAUUAUUCAAAGGAAGGCUUGAGGAAUUGUCACCUGAAAGGUUUGGCAAAUUUGUAUUAUAAUAAAACCAGCAAUUAUUAUAGAUCAACUGAUCGGCUUUUGAAAUACCGAAUCUAUCAUCUCUGCUAUAAAGGUGCCACUUUCUUCUAUCUACAAAAUAGAAGCUUUUCAAUAUCGUACCAACUGCAUUUUUCUGCCUAUGUACUUUGAUUUUCACAACCAUCAACUUGAAGACAAUAUCGUCAAGAUUUUUACUUUGAAAGGAAGUGAGUCUAAUGAUUGAAGACCACGUACAUGAUCGUACAUGUACAUAGUGUUCAUAUUGAAUAAAGGAACACUUAGUUAAGUAGAUCCGCUUGGAUGACAACACGACAUGACGUUAUUGAUUACACUUACAUAUAUAUAACAAUUGUCGUAUUAAAGUACGGGUAAAAUAAAGCCAAUAUCAAGAAAUACGAGUUAUGUAAAUCAGCAAUCUGAUAUUUAUGCAAGUAAUGUAUAUAUGUUUAGGCUAUGAAGAUGCUGGAAUUGGUCGUCCAAAUCAACAGUGUAUUUCCUUGCUGGCAUAAAAAUUCAACCAAUUGCAGUAAAGCAUUUCAAAGAAUGAGAAAGAGAAGUUGACAAAACAAUAGAAAUUUAUUUAUAACUUUUAUGAACUAUGUACGAUUUUGAGCUUGACAUAUUGUGCAAACACCCUCCUGUCUUUGAAGUGUUGUUCAUUGACGUACAUCUCUUCCUUACUUAAUUAAUCAUCUUCCUUCAUGUUUUUGAACAUAUAAGGUAUCAACAAAGGACGCACCGGAGGACGUACAUCUUUCACUGGUUCAACAAAAUUAUGAAUUCAAUAUUGAUUUCAUAUUGCUCUCGGUCAUUAAUUUAGAAGAAUAAGUCAUAAUCAAAUAAACUCAUCAUAGAUACCGGGAUUGAAAUUUAUUUUUACAACAGACGCGCGUUUCGUCCAUAAAAAGACACCUUUACGAAGCGACUGUUGAUUUGUGACAUUAUUAAGUUGGCAGAACAUGAUAAUAUGAAACACCACAGCUGUCUUCUGUGGAACUCUGAUAUUACGUUAUGCUGUUUUAAUUAUUACUUGAUGAUAUUUCGUCUUUACAUAAUAUGGUUUUGACAUUACGUAAUGAUGUUUUGAUAUAACUCAAUAUGGUAUAGUAUUGACAUGAUAUAGUUUCGUCAUUACUUGAUGUUUUAUUUUAUUACUCGAUGUGGUUUCAACAUUUUUUAAAUGUGGUUGUUUCAUUAUCUUUGACGACUCACUCAAUUUUUUGUUUUUGUCUUUUUAAUGAGAACCUAUUGUUACUGAAAAGUAAUAGUGUUGAAAAAAAACCAUUAAAUUAAAUUACUAACAAACAAAAAUACUGUGAUUUGAUGUAAUAUCGCAAUCGAUAUUUUAAAGGGUUUCGAUUGAUUGAAACAUUCUUGUGGUAGUAAAGUAAAAUAUUCAAUAUAGUUAUGCGUUGGAACACAUAUAAAUCAACUACACUGAUACCGUAAUGAUCCUUAAAUCUUAUGAAUUCAGUUAUACGAUUCGUUGAACAAGAAUAUGUCUAUAUAUAAUAGGAGAAAGUUGUAGCUUAACAAAAAAUUAAACGCAACCAAAAGAUUUUUUACAGAAAACAUCACAGAUAACGUAAUGAUAGGUAUGAAUGCUCUUUUCUCAGUUUCUGUAGCUAUUCGUUGUAAAUAAAAAUGUAUAUCCCUCUCAGAUGGAAAACAACUCGUGUAAAUUGAUCUUUGAUAACACGGUCAAUAACAGAAGUAACAAGUAAACGAAGCACGUUGUGCAUAAACUGGAGAUCCUCGGUAAGAAUGCAAACAACCUUCUCUUUGACCGUUUUAACCAAUAUACUAGUAUAGAUAAUUUUCAUUUAGAUGUGUGAUAUUUCGAGGUUACGCGCUCUUCAGUUCCAGACCUUAUUUUUAGACAUAAAGAAGAAAAUUAGGUAAAUGUAGGUUUUAUCGGGAUACCCAUCAAAUAACGCGAAUAGCUAAAAGAUAUCACAAAAGACAGGUUUCUACACAGAAUGAAUCGUUCCAAGCCUAUAUAAGUUGUGAAUAGAUUAAACUGAAUCUGAUAGACAUCUGCAUGCAUCAACACUAAAUUUUACAAAUAUAAAGAUAAUAAGAUGUGACAUAAUAAAACCCCUCACAAGGUUCAUGACUUAUGUGUGUCGGUGUUUAACACAAGAGAAAAAUCUGAGUGGAAAUCAUGUAAGUUACAAUGCACUCUCUGAUAAACCUCAGUAAUUAAAAGAAAUUUAAGGUGUUCUAGAGUUCCUGGUCGUCGUGACUAACGAAUUACAAAUCUCAGACAAAAUCAUGAAAGUUACCAUGCAGUCUCGAACAAAACUCAGGAAUGAAUGACAAUCUGAGGUGUUUGAGUUUCCCGGUUUUCUUGAUUUAUUUUAACUGGAGUCUUAAUGUUCAAGUACUAGUAACAUCAACGGUGAAACAUAUCGAUAUACACCGUAUUCCAAAGUGCUUAGAUAAACUGCAUUCCUCUCGUUCAUCUACCAUGUCUUACUUGCUGUACACAUACAACAUAUCUGUUUGCUUUCUUUAAACAACUGCCCAUCACCAAUAAUGUAAUGUUAUUAUUUUAUAUUCAAAUACGAAGCAUAAUGCGACUGCAAAUUAAACAUAAUUAUUUUACCCUACGAUUGGUAAUUCUUGAUAUUAUCAUUACUGUUGAUUUCUUGAAGUUUAGUAAUAGAAUUUAGGAUAUUUUUGUACAAAUAGACAUAAUUUAUUUUCAAUUUUGUGUGUCUUUUUGUUUAUCUUAUAUCAAAUUGAUUUACAUAGCUUCAUUUGAUGUCGUAUAUAGACAAUAAUAGUGCAUUGACUUGACAUAUCAACGAUAUAAGGAUGAGGCUUAGAAACGGGGAAAUGCGAGGCUGUGCCGAGUCAGUGGGUCAGUGACUGUAUAUGACAUAGAAAUAUACAGUCAACGCAUUUUGACUGCUCAAAUAGAACGAGUGCAGUAUAAAUAGUGAUAAUCAUAUAUGUUUCUUGCACAGGAGCUUGCAUCUGAUUUUUUUUUAUAUUUAUAUACAUCAAUAAUAUAUACAGAUUUAUACUAAAAGUAAAGCGUAUACAACAGCCUGUGGAUCGUAACACAAUUUGUUUUAUUAGUCGUCAGAUUUAAAUGUAUAUAUCUAAACGAUGUUAAUGAUUGUGGAUUUAAAUUUACAUAUUUGUUAAACAAUCUUAAUUUAUUCAAUAAUGCUAGAUGAUAGAUAUUGCAGCUCAUAUACAUAUAAAUACACUUUAAUAUACAAGUGGAAUAAUUGGGACACAGACUUAUUUCUGAAAAGGAAUACAUGUAUUCUACUUAGUUUUCUGUUUAAGGCAAACACAUUUGUGAUUAUGCUUAACGUGUAUGGGGAAAAAUGAAACGGAC
rnacentral:lncRNA from 1 species